UUAAAGCGUGGAGCUUAACUCCAUCAUGGCAGUGGAAACUGAAAGGCUUGAGUAUGGUAGGGGCAGAGGGAAUUCCCGGUGUAGCGGUGAAAUGCGUAGAUAUCGGGAAGAACACCAGUGGCGAAGGCGCUCUGCUGGGCCAUUACUGACGCUCAUGGACGAAAGCCAGGGGAGCGAAAGGGAUUAGAUACCCCUGUAGUCCUGGCCGUAAACGAUGAACACUAGGUGUCGGGGGAAUCGACCCCUUCGGUGUCGUAGCUAACGCGUUAAGUGUUCCGCCUGGGGAGUACGCACGCAAGUGUGAAACUCAAAGGAAUUGACGGGGGCCCGCACAAGCGGUGGAGUAUGUGGUUUAAUUCGAUGCAACGCGAAGAACCUUACCAGGGUUUGACAUCCUGCGAACCUCUUAGAAAUUUGAGGGUGCCUUCGGGAAUGCAGUGACAGGUGGUGCAUGGCUGUCGUCAGCUCGUGUCGUGAGAUGUUGGGUUAAGUCCCGCAACGAGCGCAACCCACGUUUUUAGUUGCCAGCAUUUAGUUGGGCACUCUAGAAAGACCGCCGGUGAUAAACCGGAGGAAGGUGUGGAUGACGUCAAGUCAUCAUGCCCCUUACACCCUGGGCUACACACGUACUACAAUGCUACGGACAAAGGGCAGCAAACUCGCGAGAGCUAGCAAAUCCCAUAAACCGUGGCUCAGUUCAGAUCGUAGGCUGCAACUCGCCUACGUGAAGUAGGAAUCGCUAGUAAUCGCAGGUCAGCAUACUGCGGUGAAUACGUUCCCGGGCCUUGUACACACCGCCCGUCACACCAUGGAAGUUGGCCAUGCCCGAAGUCGUUACUCCAACCCUUGUGGAGGAGGACGCCGAAGUGGGGCUAAUGACUGGGGUGAAGUCGUAACAAGGUAGCCGUACCGGAAGGUGCGGCUG
rnacentral:rRNA from 1 species